ACAAAAAAAGGAAUUAUUAUUCACCAUAAAAAAAAUCAGUAAUAUUUUUAAAAAUUACACAGCAAAUUCUAUUUUUCUUUUCUGUGGGAAAUAAAAGAUGAAAAGUCGUCGGUAUUCUUUCCAUUUUUAAUUUAAAAAAGUGCCUGCGGAUAUUUUACAUCAACAUACAUAGAAUCAUCACAGUUGGAGUAAAAAAAAUUAUUGAAUAUUAAACUUUCUAAUUCAAUUAAAUUAACAUUUGUUAAUUUCAGCUAUAUAAACAGCAAAAUUAAUGAUUUAUGGAUUCUUUGCGAAUACUAAAAUUCCCAAUAAUGAUUUUAAAAAAAUCCUCGAGACGAAAGAAGAAGUAAUUUGAAAAAAAAACUGAAGUACAUGAAGAAGGGGAUUGUAUCUGCAAAAUAAAAAAAAAAAGAAGAAUCGGGGGUGGUUAAUCUCAUACAAAGCAUCUCCCAUAUGAAUAUGUAAAGGCACACACUGUCUAUUCCGAAAUAUUUCGAACCUAUAUACACUACAUAUGUGGUCCAAGAGCUCAAGUGGAACAAGACCAUUUAUCCUAAACUUCUGCAGUUGAAAGGAAUGUCACAAUUGAAACAGAACGACAAUGCAGCAUCAAGCUUAUUGUUUUCAAGUAGCCUGCACACAAAGUAUAAAAAAAAUUAUUUUUUUUCUCCCAAAAAAAAAAAUGAAA